rnacentral:rRNA from 1 species
UACGUAGGUGGCAAGCGUUGUCCGGAUUUACUGGGCGUAAAGAGCGCGCAGGCGGUCGUGCAAGUCGCGUGUGAAAUCUCCGGGCUUAACCCGGAAAGGUCAGCCGAUACUGCGGGGCUAGAGUGCAGAAGGGGCAACUGGAAUUCUCGGUGUAGCGGUGAAAUGCGUAGAUAUCGAGAGGAACACCUGCGGCGAAGGCGGGUUGCUGGGCUGACACUGACGCUGAAGCGCGAAAGCUAGGGGAGCGAACGGG